AUGCUAGUGGAUCAUGAAAAGAAUGCUUUAUGUGAUAGUUAUAUUGUUGGAUUCAUUCAUGAUGCUACUAAAAGCUAUUAUGAGAGAGGAACAUAUGCUUUUACAUAUCUCAAUAAUAUCAAGUUUUCUCUCUAUGUGUUGAAAAUCUUGAAGUUAUGCUUGUUUUGCCUUCCUAAGCUUGUUGAUUCUUGUUCCCAUAAAGUGUUUGCUCACAAAAUCCAUAUGCAUAGGAAGUGGGUUAGACUUAAAUGUUCUAGUCAUAUGCUUCAUGAUGCUCCCAUUAUGUUUCAAUCCUUAUCUUUUAUGUGA
rnacentral:rRNA from 1 species